AAAAUUAAAGAUUGGAUGAUUUUGCUUUGAUAAAAAUCCAUUCAAAUAAAAAUGUAAAACGAUACACUAAGAAUUCUACCUAGCAAAUUUUACCAGAUAUAAUGACAUGUUAAUUAAUAGGUUUUGAUUUGAAAAAAAAAAAAAAAAAUUAAUAGGUUUUGAUCAAAAUUUCUUAUAUACUUGGAACAUACAUGAUGAGAAAUACAAAGAAAAAAUAGCUUUUAAAAAUAGUUAAAGUGUCUUUCUAUAAUAAAAGUGGUUUUUGAAAUAUGUGUAUUUAAAAUUUAAUUUUUAAAAUAGUUAAAAAAGUUACUACCAAGAAAGACAAUAGCGGUUAUAGUACAGGAG
rnacentral:lncRNA from 1 species